CAGGUGCAUGGGGGUGCAUAUGACAUUGUUGCGGAGAAAUAAGAGGCACUCGCGUGCAUGGGAGGCAAUGUUGGAAGCAAUUCAUCACACGGAACCAUUCCAUCGGAGGAGAAAUGGUUCUCUCCAUACAUUGUAAUUGUAUUGGUCUUCGUCUGUUUUCAUAAUUAUAUUUUGGUUUUUCAUCCACGACAUCCGAGAAAUUACAUAACAAGGUGGUUUCCAAGCUUCACAUUCCUGGUGAUGGCUUGGCUCAACUGUGUAGUGGAGAUUCCUCUUCUUUGUUAA